rnacentral:rRNA from 1 species
CAGGAUGAACGCUAGCGGCAGGCUUAACACAUGCAAGUCGAGGGGUAACAGGGUGCUUGCACCGCUGACGACCGGCGCACGGGUGAGUAACGCGUAUACAAUUUGCCUUAUACUGGAGAAUAACCAAGAGAAAUUUUGACUAAUACUCCAUAGUCUAUAUAGAUCACCUGAUUUUUAUAGUAAAGAUUUAUCGGUAUAAGAUGAGUAUGCGUCCUAUUAGCUAGAUGGUAAGGUAACGGCUUACCAUGGCAACGAUAGGUAGGGGUCCUGAGAGGGAGAUCCCCCACACUGGUACUGAGACACGGACCAGACUCCUACGGGAGGCAGCAGUGAGGAAUAUUGGGCAAUGGAGGCAACUCUGACCCAGCCAUGCCGCGUGCAGGAAGACGGCCCUAUGGGUUGUAAACUGCUUUUAUAGAGGAAGAAACCCUCCCACGUGUGGGAGGCUGACGGUACUCUACGAAUAAGGACCGGCUAACUCCGUGCCAGCAGCCGCGGUAAUACGGAGGGUCCAAGCGUUAUCCGGAAUCAUUGGGUUUAAAGGGUCCGUAGGCGGGCAAUUAAGUCAGAGGUGAAAUCCCACAGCUCAACUGUGGAACUGCCUUUGAUACUGGUUGUCUUGAGUUAUAUUGAAGUGAGUAGAAUAUGUAGUGUAGCGGUGAAAUGCUUAGAUAUUACAUAGAAUACCGAUUGCGAAGGCAGCUCACUAAGUAUACACUGACGCUGAUGGACGAAAGCGUGGGGAGCGAACAGGAUUAGAUACCCUGGUAGUCCACGCCGUAAACGAUGGUUACUAGUUGUUGGGAUUUAUCUCAGUGACUAAGCGAAAGUGAUAAGUAACCC